rnacentral:rRNA from 1 species
UUAACACAUGCAAGUCGAACGGAAAGGCCCUUCGGGGUACUCGAGUGGCGAACGGGUGAGUAACACGUGGGUAAUCUGCCCUGCACUUCGGGAUAAGCCUGGGAAACUGGGUCUAAUACCGAAUAGGACCUUGGGAUGCAUGUCCCGAGGUGGAAAGCUUUUGCGGUGUGGGAUGGGCCCGCGGCCUAUCAGCUUGUUGGUGGGGUGAUGGCCUACCAAGGCGACGACGGGUAGCCGGCCUGAGAGGGUGUCUGGCCACACUGGGACUGAGAUACGGCCCAGACUCCUACGGGAGGCAGCAGUGGGGAAUAUUGCACAAUGGGCGCAAGCCUGAUGCAGCGACGCCGCGUGGGGGAUGACGGCCUUCGGGUUGUAAACCUCUUUCACCAUCGACGAAGGUCCGGGGUUUCUCGGAUUGACGGUAGGUGGAGAAGAAGCACCGGCCAACUACGUGCCAGCAGCCGCGGUAAUACGUAGGGUGCGAGCGUUGUCUGGAAUUACUGGGCGUAAAGAGCUCGUAGGUGGUUUGUCGCGUUGUUCGUGAAAUCUCACGGCUUAACUGUGAGCGUGCGGGCGAUACGGGCAGACUGGAGUACUGCAGGGGAGACUGGAAUUCCUGGUGUAGCGGUGGAAUGCGCAGAUAUCAGGAGGAACACCGGUGGCGAAGGCGGGUCUCUGGGCAGUAACUGACGCUGAGGAGCGAAAGCGUGGGGAGCGAACAGGAUUAGAUACCUGGUAGU